rnacentral:tRNA from 1 species
AAGUAUUGUGCCAGAGUUAAAUGGGCUUUGUUGAUGUCGAAGAAUAUGUGGAAUUCUCCUCCAAUACUUG